rnacentral:lncRNA from 1 species
ACCCCGUCCGGUAUGAGGGUGAAACGGGCCGUCCCCAUACCUCGUCCGGUAUGGGCGCCAAAACAAUAAACCUCAUUACCCCGUCCGGUAUGAGGGUGAAACGGGCCGUCCCCAUACCUCGUCCGGUAUGGGCGCCAAAACACAUAAGAUCUCCAUACCCCGUCCGGUAUGGGAGACCACAAUCCCGGUAGGGUUCCCUACGGACCCGGUCCGUCCACCAUCUCUCAGGAUAUCUAGUCAGGCUGAACACAUUAUACAAUUUCCAUUCACAUAAUCUUUCAUUCUCCUUUUCCCUCAGUCAGCAUUAUCAAUCACAUACAAACAAGCAAAACGAUAAUUUAUGCCAAACAGACAACAUAUAGCAUCAAUAUCCCGGUCAUUCAAUCAUAAUCAAUAAAACAGUAAAAUAUGCACACGAAACUAUAAAAUGAAAACAUCGAACCUCAUGCUGCAUUUAAAACUGUAAAACAUGUCAAAUAACAGUUAACCGACAAACACACUAGACUCGGGCUCCAUUAGCGACCUUAAGUAAUUUCACACAUUCGUUUAUUCAUGAAAAACCGUUUUAUCAUUUAUUGGACUUUAAAACCG